rnacentral:rRNA from 1 species
UAAUGCUUGGGAAUCUAGCUUAUGGAGGGGGAUAACUAUGGGAAACUGUAGCUAAUACCGCGUAGAAUCGGGAGAUGAAAGUGUGGGACCUUCGGGCCACAUGCCAUAGGAUGAGCCCAAGUGGGAUUAGGUAGUUGGUGAGGUAGAGGCUCACCAAGCCGACGAUCUCUAGCUGGUCUGAGAGGAUGACCAGCCACACUGGGACUGAGACACGGCCCAG